rnacentral:rRNA from 1 species
ACGGGGGGGCUAGCGUUGUUCGGAAUUACUGGGCGUAAAGCGCGUGUAGGCGGACCACCAAGUCGGACGUGAAAGCCCUGAGCUCAACUCAGGAACUGCAUCCGAAACUGGCGGUCUGGAGUAGUGGAGAGGAAAGCAGAAUUCCUGGUGUAGAGGUGAAAUUCGUAGAUAUCAGGAGGAACACCGGUGGCGAAGGCGGCUUUCUGGACACUUACUGACGCUGAGACGCGAAGGCGUGGGGAGCAAACAGGA